UGGAUCCAGACUUUGAUUAUGGCUCAGGAUGAACGCUAGCUACAGGCUUAACACAUGCAAGUCGAGGGGCAGCAUGGACUCAGCUUUGCUGAGUUUGAUGGCGACCGGCGCACGGGUGAGUAACGCGUAUCCAACCUGCCCUUUACUCCGGGAUAGUCUCCUGAAAGGGAGUUUAAUACCGGAUGUGUUUGUUUUUCCGCAUGGGAGCGACAAAUAAAGAUUAAUUGGUAAAGGAUGGGGAUGCGUCCCAUUAGCUUGUUGGCGGGGUAACGGCCCACCAAGGCAACGAUGGGUAGGGGUUCUGAGAGGAAGGUCCCCCACAUUGGAACUGAGACACGGUCCAAACUCCUACGGGAGGCAGCAGCGAGGAAUAUUGGUCAAUGGGCAAGAGCCUGAACCAGCCAAGUAGCGUGAAGGACGACGGCCCUACGGGUUGUAAACUUCUUUUAUAAGGGAAUAAAGUUCGCCACGUGUGGUGUUUUGUAUGUACCUUAUGAAUAAGCAUCGGCUAAUUCCGUGCCAGCAGCCGCGGUAAUACGGAAGAUGCGAGCGUUAUCCGGAUUUAUUGGGUUUAAAGGGAGCGUAGGCGGGCUUUUAAGUCAGCGGUCAAAUGCCACGGCUCAACCGUGGCCAGCCGUUGAAACUGUAGGCCUUGAGUCUGCACAGGGCACAUGGAAUUCGUGGUGUAGCGGUGAAAUGCUUAGAUAUCACGAAGAACUCCGAUCGCGAGGGCAUUGUGCCGGGGCAGCACUGACGCUGAGGCUCGAAAGUGCGGGUAUCAAACAGGAUUAGAUACCCUGGUAGUCCGCACGGUAAACGAUGAAUGCUCGCUAUGGGCGAUAUAUUGUCCGUGGCCAAGCGAAAGCGUUAAGCAUUCCACCUGGGGAGUACGCCGGCAACGGUGCAACUCAAAGGAAUUGACGGA
rnacentral:rRNA from 1 species